rnacentral:rRNA from 1 species
UCAGAAGGAACGAUGAGUUUGAUCGUGGCUCAGGAUGAACGCUGGCGGCGUGCUUAACACAUGCAAGUCGAACGAUGAAGCCCAGCUUGCUGGGUGGAUUAGUGGCGAACGGGUGAGUAACACGUGAGUAACCUGCCCUUAACUCUGGGAUAAGCCUGGGAAACUGGGUCUAAUACCGGAUAGGAGCGUCCACCGCAUGGUGGGUGUUGGAAAGAUUUAUCGGUUUUGGAUGGACUCGCGGCCUAUCAGCUUGUUGGUGAGGUAAUGGCUCACCAAGGCGACGACGGGUAGCCGGCCUGAGAGGGUGACCGGCCACAUUGGGACUGAGACACGGCCCAGACUCCUACGGGAGGCAGCAGUGGGGAAUAUUGCACAAUGGGCGAAAGCCUGAUGCAGCGACGCCGCGUGAGGGAUGACGGCCUUCGGGUUGUAAACCUCUUUCAGUAGGGAAGAAGCGAAAGUGAC